UCGUGGGCCUGGAUCAUUGCGCGUCGACUGUCUUUACUUUCGCUUGUACACUCGGCACCGUCCCGUCCGGGGGCGAUCGGCCAUGUCUGCUCCGUCUGCUCCUGCUCCUGCUCCUGCUGCUGCUGCUGCUGGUGGUGUGGCUCCCAAGUGGAAGCAGUGGCGUGAUCCCGGAAAACACCGCAAGGGGGGAUCUUCACCUGAAUCCCGAACAAUUACGUCGACAGUCACAAGAUGACGCAGCAAACACGGUUGACGAGGAGGGAGGUGUGUGACCUGCUGGUCUUCAUCGCCACCGUGUGGUUCAUUUAAACAACAGCAGCAUGUUUUCAUUCAUGAGCCAAAUUCAAAACUCUCAGCUAAGUCCCUGUAUUUGCAGCUAUACUGUAGAUGCAUAAUAAAAAAUAGGACAUGCACACUAAUGCAAUAUCAUGUGAAAUAUAGGAAUCAUCAAAUGUCCCUUUGAAGCAUUUAAUUGUUGAGACUGCUUCACAAAUGUGCUGUUACCUAAACUUCGUUUCUGGUUUACUGAAACAUUUUUUCUCAAAAUAAACUAUUCCGUCUGCAAACUA